rnacentral:ncRNA from 1 species
GUGAAUGCUUUGAAAAGAAGAGUACAUAUCAAACAUGUUUUAAAGAGAGCCCUGUUUGCUGAAAAUGGGCAACAUAGUUGAAAUGGAAGAUGGUCUUUGAGCAGAAUAAGUGAGCAAAAGUGAACUUAUUACGGGAAGUGCCCGUUACAGCACAACAGUAUGCGGAUUCAAGUACUGUAUGAGGUUAUUAUUGUGAAAUAAUAACAAAUCAAGGUGGUAACACGAAAGACAAGCUUUCGUCCUUUUG